rnacentral:rRNA from 1 species
GUGGGGAAUAUUGGACAAUGGGCGAAAGCCUGAUCCAGCCAUGCCGCGUGUGUGAAGAAGGUCUUCGGAUUGUAAAGCACUUUAAGUUGGGAGGAAGGGCAGUAAGUUAAUACCUUGCUGUUUUGACGUUACCGACAGAAUAAGCACCGGCUAACUUCGUGCCAGCAGCCGCGGUAAUAUGAAGGGUGCAAGCGUUAAUCGGAAUUACUGGGCGUAAAGCGCGCGUAGGUGGUUUUGUAAGUUGGAGGUGAAAUCCCCGGGCUCAACCUGGGAACUGCCUCCAAAACUGCAUGACUAGAGUACGGUAGAGGGUAGUGGAAUUUCCUGUGUAGCGGUGAAAUGCGUAGAUAUAGGAAGGAACACCAGUGGCGAAGGCGACUACCUGGACUGAUACUGACACUGAGGUGCGAAAGCGUGGGGAGCAAACAGGAUUAGAUACCCCGGUAGUCC